rnacentral:rRNA from 1 species
AUUGAACGCUGGCGGCAGGCCUAACACAUGCAAGUCGAGCGAGCGGCGGACGGGUGAGUAAUGUAUGGGGAAUGUCCGUUAGAGGGGGAUAACUACUCGAAACGGUGGCUAAUACCCCAUACUGUCGGAUAACCCAUAUGGGAUUAGCUAGUAGGUAAGGUAAUGGCUUACCUAGGCGACGAUCCCUAGCUGGUCUGAGAGGAUGAUCAGCCACACUGGGAAUGAGACACGGCCCAGACUCCUACGGAGGCAGCAGUGGGGAAUAUUGCACAAUGGGCGCAAGCCUGAUGCAGCCAUGCCGCGUGUAUGAAGAAGGCCCUAGGGUUGUAAAGUACUUUCAGUCGGGAGGCGUUACCGACAGAAGAAGCACCGGCUAACUCCGUGCCAGCAGCCGCGGUAAUAC